CCUACGGGAGGCAGCAGUGGGGAAUAUUGCACAAUGGGGGAAACCCUGAUGCAGCGAUGCCGCGUGUGCGAUGACGUCUUUCGGUAUGUAAAGCACUAUCAGCAGGGAAGAAAAUGAUGGUACUUGACUAAGAAGCACCGGAUAACUACGUGCCAGCAGCCGCGGUAAUACGGCGGGGGCACGCGGUCUCUGGAUUUACUGGGUGUAACGGGAGCGUAGAUGGCUUGGCAAGCCGGAUGUGAAAGGCUGGGGCUCAACCCCAGAACUGAAUCUGGGACUGUACUGCUAGAGUGUCGGAGAGGGAGGUGGAAUUCCUAGUGUAGCGGUGAAAUGCGUAGAUAUUUGGAGGAACACCGGUGGCGAAGGCGGCCUGCUGGACGAUGACUGACGUUGAGGCGCGAAAGCGUGGGGAGCAAACAGGAUUAGAUACCCGAGUAGUC
rnacentral:rRNA from 1 species